GACGAACGCUGGCGGCGUGCUUAACACAUGCAAGUCGAGCGGUAAGGCCCUUUCGGGGGUACACGAGCGGCGAACGGGUGAGUAACACGUGGGUGACCUGCCCUCAGCUCUGGGAUAAGCCUGGGAAACCGGGUCUAAUACCGGAUAUGACUCCAUGACGCAUGUUGUGGGGUGGAAAGCCUUGUGCGGCUGAGGAUGGGCCCGCGGCCUAUCAGCUUGUUGGUGGGGUGAUGGCCUACCAAGGCGACGACGGGUAGCCGGCCUGAGAGGGCGACCGGCCACACUGGGACUGAGACACGGCCCAGACUCCUACGGGAGGCAGCAGUGGGGAAUCUUGCGCAAUGGGCGAAAGCCUGACGCAGCGACGCCGCGUGAGGGAUGACGGCCUUAGGGUUGUAAAGCUCUUUUACCCGGGAAGAUAAUGACGGUACCGGGAGAAUAAGCCCCGGCUAACUUCGUGCCA
rnacentral:rRNA from 1 species